rnacentral:rRNA from 1 species
AUGUUGGAGAGCAAUUGUCGUUUCACGCCUCUGAAGCAUAAAUUAGGACGGCUCAAAUGCCACUGCAAUGACAUCGGAACACUCAUCGCGGCUCUGGUUAAAUACGCUGACUCUGAUGGUACCAAGGACCCCGAGUCUGAUGAUGAAAAGCCGGGAAAGGGAAAGAAGAGCGGCAGCACCAGAGAGCAGCAGCAUAACACGGCGAAUCAGGGAGGUAACGGUAAGCGCAAAGCUGAAAAUAGUCUGGACUUUGUGGCUAACACCAACACGCAGAAUAAUGGCCAGCGUCGCAAGGGUAAACCACCCCCACGAACCGGAGGAUCGGGCCUUAACCUUGAGCAGAUGCUAAAUCAGCCCUGCCCAAAGCAUGGGACGCAAGAGAGACCAUCUGGCCACCUCUGGAAGGAUUGUUACAUUAUGAAGGAGUACAAGAAUUCCAAUCUUUUUCAAGACAGUCAUGGGCCAGGUGGCGGCUCAGGAUCCGGCUCUCAUGGACCGGGUUAUGGCGGUGGCGGUUCUAGCUCCGGGUUCCAAGGUAAUCAAGGCAAUCAGGGUGGCUACCAUCAACAGUCAGGUUAG